rnacentral:lncRNA from 1 species
CUAAAUUACAUAUAUAAUAAAUAAUAGUGAGUAAAAAUAAUAGAAGUUCUACAACAAGUCUAAAAAACACAUCCCAACUAGCAGAUAUCACCUAUACGGAUCUUUUUCUUCCAUUUUACCUUAUCUUUAGCGAAGCCUACAGCGAUUCCAAGGAUUUAUAGGUCAUUCGAUACAAUUUCCUUCUAUGUGAUUUUAGGUCUACCUCGUCCUUUUUUAAUACCUUCAUUCACCAUAGUUUCACACAUAGGGACCGGUGCAUCUGCAGAUCCACGCAAGACACGACUAAACCAUCUUAAGCGAAUAUGGUUAGUUCUAAUAUUGUCUAAUUUUGUAUGACCACACAUUUAUCAAGGCAUCCGCAUCUUUGCAACACUGAUUUUGUGGAUAUGUUGGACUUUAGUAGCCCAACAUUUACUGCCAUAUAACAUUGCUGGUCUUAUAACUGUUCUAUACGACUUACUUUCCAUUUUGGUA